rnacentral:rRNA from 1 species
UACGUAGGGUGCAAGCGUUGUCCGGAAUUAUUGGGCGUAAAGAGCUCGUAGGCGGUUUGUCGCGUCUGCUGUGAAAACUCGGGGCUUAACUCCGGGCCUGCAGUGGGUACGGGCAGACUAGAGUGCGGUAGGGGAGACUGGAAUUCCUGGUGUAGCGGUGAAAUGCGUAGAUAUGCGGAGGAACACCGAUGGCGAAGGCAAUCCCCUGGGCCUGCACUGACGCUGAGGAGCGAAAGCGUGGGGAGCGAACAGG